UACAGAGGGUGCGAGCGUUAAUCGGAAUUACUGGGCGUAAAGCGUGCGUAGACGGUAGCGUAAGUCAGAUGUGAAAGCCCCGGGCUCAACCUGGGAACUGCAUUUGAGACUGCUCUGCUCGGGUGCGGAAGAGGGAAACGGAAUUUCCGGUGUAGCGGUGAAAUGCGUAGAUAUCGGAAGGAACACCAGUGGCGAAAGCGGCUUCCUGGUCCGACACCGACGUUCAGGCACGAAAGCGUGGGGAGCAAACAGG
rnacentral:rRNA from 1 species